GGCUCGGUACCUUAAUUGGUAAAGCAUUCGUAUAGCAUACAAAAGUCCUGGGUUUGAAUCCCAGAUGAGCAU
rnacentral:tRNA from 1 species